rnacentral:rRNA from 1 species
GAUGAACGCUGGCGUCGUACCUAAUAUAUGCAAGUCGAGCGAAUGGAUUAAGAGCUUGCUCUUAUGAAGUUAUCGGCGGACGGGUGAGUAACACGUGGGUAACCUGCCCAUAAGAUUGGGAUAACUCCGGGAAACCGGGGCUACUACCGGAUAACAUUUUGAACCGCAUGGUUCGAAAUUGACAGUCGGCUUAGGCUGUCACUUAUGGAUGGAACCGCGUCGCAUUAGCUAGUUGGUGAGGUAACGGCUCACCAAGGCCACGAUGCGUAGCCUACCUGGGAGGGUGAUCAGCCACGCGGGGACAGCGACACGGCCCAUACUCCUACGGGAGGCAGCAGUAGGGAAUCUUCCGCAAUGGACGAAAGUCUGACGAAGCAACGCCGCGUGAGUGAUGAAGGCUUUCGUGUCGUAAAACUCUGUUGUUAGGGAAGAACAAGUGCUAGUUGAAUAAGCUGGCACCUUGACGGUACCUAACCAGAAAGCCACGGCUAACUACGUGCCAGCCGCCGCGGUAA